GACGAACGCUGGCGGCGGGCUUAACACAUGCAAGUCGAACGGAAAGGCCCUGCUUUUGUGGUGUGCUCGAGUGGCGAACGGGUGAGUAACACGUGAGUAACCUGCCCUUGACUUUGGGAUAACUUCAGGAAACUGGGGCUACUACCGGAUAGGAGCUCCUGCUGCAUGGUGGGCAUUGGAAAGUUUCGGCUGGUGGGGAUGGACGCGCGGCUUAUCAGCUUGUUGGUGGGGUAGUGGCUUACCAAGGCUUUGAAGGGUAGCCGGCCUGAGAGGGUGACCGGCGACCAUGGGACUGAGGGACGGAGCAGAGUGCUAUGGGAGGCAGUAGGGGGGAAUAUUGCCCAAUGGGAGCAAGUGUGAUGCAGAGGCGCUGCGUGCGGGAUGACGGUCUGCGGGUAGAAAACCGCUGUCGCCUGUGACGACGCGUGAGUGACGGUAAUGGGUAAAGAAGCACCGGCUAACUACGUG
rnacentral:rRNA from 1 species